rnacentral:lncRNA from 1 species
GUCGAGAUUCGAUCUGAAAUUUGGAUCGAGAUCUGGUUCGAAUGAAUACCAUUGAAAAUUUUUUUGUUGUUAAUAGUUUUCAUAUUUGUUGUUAGAUGGAUAUCAACAAAAGUUGGAUGAAUGUUAGAGAUAUUUUUUUAUCUGAAUAUCGAAAAAGUAUUCGAGAUUUUAUUGACUUUGCACAGUAUAAGGCUAACAGUAC